GUCAUCCUCUUACAUGGUGAAUACCUUGAUGGAUCCUGCAACGGCUACACCAACCUGACGGAUCCAUGGCGCAACCGCGCCUUUGAAAGAACUGACUGGCCCGGCCACCCCAAAGAUGACAGACUGUUAUACAAAAAGUGGUGGAGAUUCACAGGGAUUGGUGGAGAUAGAGCCAGUGACAAUUGUCAAAAUUAUGCGGGUGGCUUCAUAUACCCAAGGGAUAUGGUGGUGAAUUAUCCAGUCAAUGAAUCCCUGACACCAACAAAGGGAUCAGCAGGCGCAAGCAGUAGCUCAUGCCGAUGGAACGUCAUUUCUAUUGAAUGGGUGAUCUGUCCGGGAGGCUUCCAUGUCUUCCGACCGCUUGCUGCUGGGGAUUCGCGAACUGGAUUCGCUACCUAUCAUUCUGAAUGUGGUCCAGACUCCUGCGGUCCCCUUGCUGAAUGUACCAGUACCCCUGUGGGAGGCUGUGUUUGUGUCUCUGGGUAUGAAAUCCCCCCAAAGCACCUUCCUGUUAAUGGUUCCUAUGGCU